rnacentral:misc_RNA from 1 species
AACCCAUGAGCAAUAUACAUUUAUUUUUCAAUACCCUCACGGCCCACUGCCUGCAGCCCAAGCUAGCUUCCUUGUCUGGUCGCCGAUAAACACGUCGCUGUGCUUUCGCUAGACUAGAGAAGGCAAACAUGGAAUCUACUGAUUGCAAGAAAGAGACGAGACCAGAAGCGAAAGACCCUAGCAAGGCUUCGGGAAAGGCUUCCAUCAUUCAGAAGAUAGAUCGUGAAUGUAUGAUACCCCAAGGUCUGACCCCGGUCGAUGGUAAUGAGCCAAGAAGAAGUAGGAAACCAAGGAAAGAAGAUCCUGAUACGUGACGAUCAGUCCUACCAGCGUGACGCAGUGAGGAGCUUAGCCGUGCAACACCGCUCAGCGCCCGUACCAAAACAUCGGCCAAACACGCUCAUUCACACAGUACGGUAUCUGCACAAUAAAGCUCCAGCAGUCGUCACAAUAUUUACAUGGAACUUAUGCAUUUACACCUGUCUUUUCAUGUAAUUAUAAGAACUGACUUCGGAAAGUGGUUUGAUGACAUACAGGAACUCAUUAAUUCCAUAUCGAUUACUGGAUUUCCGUGAUGAAAAUAGCAUGUGGAGUAGCUGGAGGCCGUUCCAUAUAUCAUAAACAAUCUAGGGUAUUGAAGUUGUUUAAUUUCUUCUAAACUCAGAGUUACUCAGCUACGUAAAUACAUGCAAUACUUAGGAAACACCACUUGAAAAAGAUUUCUGUGUAUGAAAUAAUUCCUUUAGUUUAUGGUAUUUUUUCUGCAAUGCCUGUUAUGGUGUAUAUGAGGGUAUAUAAUACCAAGCAUUUUCAGUAUGUUUCAGUGAUAGAAAAUGGAGCUAGAUGAGAGUUGUAUUUUAUAACCAAGCUUCAAAACUAUUCUGAAUACAGCAAUGAUCAGAUGUGAAGUGCAAACUCCAAUAUGCACAACUUCAAACAGUUUUCAGUUCCUGAUAAGGUCUCAUUUCCUUUCUAGAUAGAAAGAGACUUGAAAACUGAUGUGUAUUUCAUUAACCAGUACAGUGUUGAUGACAUUGUUUUCGAAAGUCAUCUCAAAUAAUCAUUUUAUACCUAGGCAUGUAAGAAUGUAAGAUAACUGUUCAUGGAACUGAUGCCUCUCACACGUUGGUUUUUUUUUCUUACUGAGUUUGUAGCUUUUCUGUUUAGGAUAUUGUGGGCAGUUUUGUAAAUAAAUGCAUUGAGGUGGGAGGAUUAAAUUCUCUGUUUUAAGCUGUACAGUAGCGGUCUCUGUUCAUAAUUAUGCUACUGUCGCAAUGCUGCUUUCAGUGUACAUGUGGGAAGAUUCCUAAAAUAUGAACCGUCAUAAAAUUAAUGAUGCAUAGAGAGCCGACGGCCUGUCUGUGUGUUGAGAGGUGAUAUCUUCAUCUGAGCUUGUCAUCAUCUGUGAAGCACGAGUCCUUGACUCGUUAGCCAUCGACGGGUUUACACGACAGGUUUAAUCGCUGCUGAUUAUCUGCUACUGCAUGCUACACUUCGAUGUCUUCAUAAUACCCUCAAUUAAGUCUGGUUUUCUCAUUAAGAACGUAGAGAAUAUCUAAGAGUUUAUGCAAAUGAGCUACUUAUGGAAUGGGGAACCACUGUUCUCUUCAAGGUGCGUGGUAAAAAAGUUUAACUUCCCUCACGUAAGUUGUGAUCCACAGUCCAAAACCAUAUGUGUAAUACAAAGCAAACAUAAAGAGAAUACAGAAUUGUUUUCACCAUUGUAGAGUAUAAAACAAAACGGUCUCUACAAUGAUUGAUAUUCUAAUACAUCAUAACUGGUGUUCCAGUUGGUGUGGCAAAAUUCAAAAUUUUUGUAACUAAGCUAUAAUACUACCAAUUGAUAGUGGGGUAAUUAAUCGCAUUACUAGCCUCCAAAAAAAUUCGCGGAUGAAUUUAUAGACCAGCAUUGUGAUCAACAGUAGUAGUCUGAGCAUCUGGAAAAUUGUUUUGAUCAGAGCGAGUCGACACUGGCUUCCUGUGAACUAAGUUCUCAUUUGUUGAAUGCCAGCCAUCUGGAGUUUAUAAACAGAUUGGAAUGUGAAUCAUUCCAUUCAGGUUGGUACAUUCAGAAAGUGAAUGUUGUUUAAUAGAGGUCACUGUCGUCACUCUCUGAAAACAAGGGAUACAGUAAUCUGUUUUUCUCUGUCGUAUUCAUUUCAAAUCUUCAUCAAUUAAAAGAAAGCAAAAAGAUAUCUGUCA